GGUGCAGCGAGACCGAAAACGGCAUUCACCCGCAUAGUGGGAAGUCUAGACAUACUUAUAGACUGGGCCCGCCAGUUCGAGUUAGAGUUCUCGGCUGGUAAGAGCCAAUUGUUGUCCUUGAAAGGCGGACUUAAACCCAGGUAUAGCAUCAGCUUUGGCUCGGAUACUGAUGCUCCCAGUAUACACUCGGCAGCCACUGCCAAUUACCUAGGAGUGUGCCUCGAUCCUCGUAGGAGUUACUGGGACCACAUCAAGAUUAUCAGUAAAAAGUCGAAGGACAUGUAUGGCCGCCUAAGAAGACUCCGUUCUGCGAGUCCGAGCUUCAUCCGAGCAUCCCACCAAUGAUGUGCUUUACCUAACGGGAAGCGAUAAUGGUGCUUCGGGAUGUGAGGGAGCCCCUCGGCGUUGAGAGAUUGACGACGAGCCCUCACACGUCGGUCGCGGUGGACACUGCCCCGACCGACGGCGGAUUGGUUUCGAAGUGGCGGUUCGCUGGAGCGAACUAUGUGGGAAAAGACCACAUGCUUGGUCAGGGGAAAGUUGCCGAGUGACAGUACCAGGCGGACCCGUACGGCGACAGUCGGCCGGGAACGCACGGGUCCUCCUUAGCGCCUAUCCAGCUUAUCGUUGGGGCUAUAUGCAGCGAAGGUUGUCCGUGACCAUAAUCGGAAAGCAACGAGGAUAGAUUGCGGUCUCACCAGGAUGGCGAAAGGCACCUGUAAUGCCCUAGCCGCAUGGUACGACGCCGCCGGAGAUUCCCUCCGUGCGUGCUCGGUGCUCGUGGUCGAUAUUCCGGUAGCGUUAAGCACCAGCCGAGGGAUCCGGGCGUCAAUCCGCGGACCGCCGUCCGUCCGCGUACGGCCGACCGUCAAAAGUCGCCGUCCGCGUUCGCGGCGUAUCCGCGGGCCCGGUCCCUGGUGCGAUCCGUAUUCCGAGGACACCGCCAGGUGGGGAGUUUGACUAGGGCGGUACAUCUGUCAAAAUUAGGUGUCCUAAGGCCAGCUCAGCGAUGACGGAAACCUCGCGUAGAGCAAAAGGGCAAAUGCUGGCUUGAUCCCGGACGCUCAGUACGCGUAGGGACUGCGAAAGCAUCGGCCUCUCGAUCCUCUCGUCCGCUGAAGAGUUUUCAGCGAGAGGUGUCAGAAAAGUUACCACAGGGAUAACUGGCUUGUGGUGGCCAAGUGUUCAUAGCGACGUCGCUUUUUGAUCCUUCGAUGUCGGCUCUUCCUAUCAUUGCGAAGAAAAAUUCGCCAAGCGUCGGAUUGUUCACCCGCUUAAGGGAACGUGAGCUGGGUUUAGACCGUCGUGAGACAGGUUAGUUUUACCCUACUGAUGCAAGAUCGCACGCGAUCGAAACCGCCUUUACGGCGGCAGUCGUUACGAUAGUAAUCCUGCCCAGUACGAGAGGAACGGCAGGUUCGGACAUUUGGUUCGGCACUCGCCCGAGCGGGCGUUGGUGCGAGGCUACCAUCCGUUGGAUUACGCCUGAACACCUCUAAGGCCGUAUCCACUCUGGAGAAAACAGCCGGGCCGGCUUUCGGGCCGGUCUCGGGAAAACGAUCGUCCGUACGGCGGAGGAGAACCCAGUAUACAUCGAGAAGGCGUCAAAGCACGGACCUUCGGGUCCACGACGAGCCGGAUUCUCGGCCGCGCGGGCUCUCGGGCCCGCUGGCCGUGCAUCAACGGUGAACGCGGUGAUCCCGCGGCAAACGGUGUGGGUUUUCGGAAUCGUCUGCAGACGACUUAAGUACCGGGCUGGGUGUUGUACUCGGCAGAGCAGUUACCACGCUGCGAUCUGUUAAGACUGCCCUUUGCCUCGGGGGUUCGU
rfam:Acyrthosiphon pisum strain LSR1 Contig11178, whole genome shotgun sequence.